CCUACGGGUGGCAGCAGUGGGGAAUAUUGGACAAUGGGCGAAAGCCUGAUCCAGCCAUGCCGCGUGUGUGAAGAAGGCCUUCGGGUUGUAAAGCACUUUCAGUGGGGAAGAAAGCCUUGGGGCUAAUACCCUCGAGGAAGGACAUCACCCACAGAAGAAGCACCGGCUAACUCCGUGCCAGCAGCCGCGGUAAUACGGAGGGUGCGAGCGUUAAUCGGAAUUACUGGGCGUAAAGCGCGCGUAGGCGGUCUGAUAAGCCGGUUGGGAAAGCCCCGGGCUCAACCUGGGAACGGCAUCCGGAACUGUCAGGCUAGAGUGCAGGAGAGGAAGGUAGAAUUCCCGGUGUAGCGGUGAAAUGCGUAGAGAUCGGGAGGAAUACCAGUGGCGAAGGCGGCCUUCUGGACUGACACUGACGCUGAGGUGCGAAAGCGUGGGUAGCAAACAGGAUUAGAUACCCCUGUAGUC
rnacentral:rRNA from 1 species